rnacentral:pre_miRNA from 1 species
GUAAGAAACCCUUUUAGUUUCACGACUUGUUGUGAUGAAACUGAAAUGGUUUUUUGCAG